GUUGUAAACUGCUUUUAUACAGGAAGAAACGACUCUUGCGAGAGGCAUUGACGGUACUGUAUGAAUAAGCACCGGCUAACUCCGUGCCAGCAGCCGCGGUAAUACGGAGGGUGCAAGCGUUGUCCGGAUUUAUUGGGUUUAAAGGGUGCGCAGGUGGUUUAUUAAGUCAGUGGUGAAAGACGGUCGCUCAACGAUUGCAGUGCCAUUGAAACUGAUAGACUUGAGUAAAGUAGAGGUGGGCGGAAUUGAUAGUGUAGCGGUGAAAUGCAUAGAUAUUAUCAAGAACUCCAAUUGCGAAGGCAGCUCACUUGGCUUUUACUGACACUCAUGCACGAAAGUGUGGGUAUCAAACAGGAUUAGAUACCCUGGUAGUCCACACUGUAAACGAUGAUAACUAGGUGUCGGCCGAAUCUGGUCGGUGCCACAGCGAAAGCGUUAAGUUAUCCACCUGGGGAGUACGCCGGCAACGGUGAAACUCAAAUGAAUUGACGGG
rnacentral:rRNA from 1 species